rnacentral:rRNA from 1 species
CACGGAGUUAGCCGGUGCUUCUUCUGUAGUUAACGUCAAUCACCUAGUCUAUUAAACUAAAUGCCUUCCUCGCUACCGAAAGAACUUUACAACCCGAAGGCCUUCUUCAUUCACGCGGCAUGGCUGCGUCAGGGUUGCCCCCCAUUGCGCAAUAUUCCCCACUGCUGCCUCCCGUAGGAGUCUGGGCCGUGUCUCAGUCCCAGUGUGGCUGGUCAUCCUCUCAGACCAGCUAGAGAUCGUCGGCUUGGUGAGCCUUUACCUCACCAACUACCUAAUCCCACUUGGGCUCAUCCUAUGGCAUGUGGCCCGAAGGUCCCACACUUUAAUCUUUCGAUAUUACGCGGUAUUAGCUACAGUUUCCCGAGUUACUCCCCCUCCAUAAGCUAGAUUCCCAAGCAUUACUCACCCGUCCGCCACUCGUCAUCAAAGAAGCAAGCUUCUUAUGUUACCGUUCGACUUGCUAUGUGUUAAGCCUGCCGCCAGCGUUCAAUCUGAGUCCAGGAUA